GUCCAGCAGGGCACUUUCCCUAGUUGGCUCACUCACCAGCUGGGUCAGGAACUUCUCUUCCACACACUCCAGGAACCUCCUAGACUAUCUGUGCUCUGCU